rnacentral:rRNA from 1 species
UUAGAGUUUGAUCCUGGCUCAGGAUGAACGCUAGCGGCAGGCUUAACACAUGCAAGUCGAGGGGCAGCGCGUUUGUAGCAAUACAGAUGGCGGCGACCGGCGCAAGGGUGCGUAACGCGUGAGCAACAUGCCCUCUUCAGGGGGAUAACCCGGAGAAAUUCGGACUAAUACCCCAUAGUUCCGUGAUGAGGCAUCUCAUUAUGGAUAAAGUUGCGAUGGAAGAGGAUUGGCUCGCGUGACAUUAGGUAGUCGGCGGGGUAACGGCCCACCGAGCCGACGAUGUCUAGGGGAACUGAGAGGUUGGUCCCCCACACUGGAACUGAGACACGGUCCAGACUCCUACGGGAGGCAGCAGUGAGGAAUAUUGGUCAAUGGGCGAGAGCCUGAACCAGCCAUGUCGCGUGGAGGAAUAAGGAUCUAUGGUUCGUAAACUCCUUUUGCGGGGGGAUGAAGUGCGGGACGUGUCCCGCUUUGCAGGUACCCCGCGAAUAAGCAUCGGCUAACUCCGUGCCAGCAGCCGCGGUAAUACGGAGGAUGCGAGCGUUAUCCGGAUUUAUUGGGUUUAAAGGGUGCGUAGGCGGCCCCUUAAGUCGGCGGUGAAAUUUCCGGGCUCAACCCGGUCACUGCCGUCGAAACUGGGGGGCUUGAGUGCGUUUGGGGUGGCUGGAAUGUGCGGUGUAGCGGUGAAAUGCAUAGAUAUCGCACAGAACGCCGAUCGCGGAGGCAGGUCACCAAGCCGCAACUGACGCUGAGGCACGAAAGCGCGGGGAUCGAACAGGAUUAGAUACCCUGGUAGUCCGCGCAGUAAACGAUGGACGCUCGCCGUUCGGCAUAGCGCCGAGUGGCCAAGCGAAAGCGAUAAGUUAUCCACCUGGGGAGUACGACCGCAAGGUUGAAACUCAAAGGAAUUGACGGGGGCCCGCACAAGCGGAGGAACAUGUGGUUUAAUUCGAUGAUACGCGAGGAACCUUACCCGGGCUCGAACGGUACCGGACGACACGAGAGAUUGUGUUUCCCUUCGGGGCUGGUAUCGAGGUGCUGCAUGGUUGUCGUCAGCUCGUGCCGUGAGGUGUCGGCUUAAGUGCCAUAACGAGCGCAACCCUUGUUGACAGUUGCCAUCAGGUAGUGCUGGGGACUCUGUCGAGACUGCCACCGUAAGGUGUGAGGAAGGGGGGGAUGACGUCAAAUCAGCACGGCCCUUAUGUCCGGGGCGACACACGUGUUACAAUGGUGACUACAGCGGGACGCUACCCUGCGAGGGGAUGCCAAUCUGUAAAAGUCAUCUCAGUUCGGAUCGGAGUCUGCAACUCGACUCCGUGAAGUUGGAUUCGCUAGUAAUCGCGCAUCAGCCAUGGCGCGGUGAAUACGUUCCCGGGCCUUGCACACACCGCCCGUCA